rnacentral:rRNA from 1 species
AACGAACGCUGGCGGCAUGCCUAACACAUGCAAGUCGAACGAGACCUUCGGGUCUAGUGGCGCACGGGUGCGUAACGCGUGGGAACCUGCCCUUAGGUUCGGAAUAACUCCCCGAAAGGGGUGCUAAUACCGGAUAAUGUCUUCGGACCAAAGAUUUAUCGCCUUUGGAUGGGCCCGCGUUGGAUUAGCUAGUUGGUAGGGUAAAAGCCUACCAAGGCGACGAUCCAUAGCUGGUCAGAGAGGAUGAUCAGCCACACUGGGACUGGGACACGGCCCAGACUCCUACGGAAGGGAGCAGUGGGGAAUAUUGGACAACGGGCGAAAGCAUGAACCAGCAAGGCUGGGUGAGUGAUGAAGGCGUGAGGGUAGUAAAGCUCGUUUACCCGGGAUGAUAAUGACAGUACCGGGAGAAUAAGCACCGGCUAACUCCGUG